UACACUCCUGCGGGAGGCAGCAGUGGGGAAUAUUGGACAAUGGGCGCAAGCCUGAUCCAGCCAUGCCGCGUGAGUGAUGAAGGCCCUAGGGUUGUAAAGCUCUUUCACCGGUGAAGAUAAUGACGGUAACCGGAGAAGAAGCCCCGGCUAACUUCGUGCCAGCAGCCGCGGUAAUACGAAGGGGGCUAGCGUUGUUCGGAUUUACUGGGCGUAAAGCGCACGUAGGCGGACUAUUAAGUCAGGGGUGAAAUCCCGGGGCUCAACCCCGGAACUGCCUUUGAUACUGGUAGUCUUGAGUUCGAGAGAGGUGAGUGGAAUUCCGAGUGUAGAGGUGAAAUUCGUAGAUAUUCGGAGGAACACCAGUGGCGAAGGCGGCUCACUGGCUCGAUACUGACGCUGAGGUGCGAAAGCGUGGGGAGCAAACAGGAUUAGAAACCCGUGUAGUCCCAUGA
rnacentral:rRNA from 1 species